rnacentral:rRNA from 1 species
CCUACGGGCGGCAGCAGUGGGGAAUAUUGGACAAUGGGGGGAACCCUGAUCCAGCCAUGCCGCGUGUGUGAAGAAGGCCCUCGGGGUGUAAAGCACUUUCAGUGAGGAAGAACGCCUGGUGGUUAAUACCCAUCAGGAAAGACAUCACUCACAGAAGAAGCACCGGCUAACUCCGUGCCAGCAGCCGCGGUAAUACGGAGGGUGCGAGCGUUAAUCGGAAUUACUGGGCGUAAAGCGCGCGUAGGUGGCUUGAUAAGCCGGUUGUGAAAGCCCCGGGCUCAACCUGGGAACGGCAUCCGGAACUGUCAAGCUAGAGUGCAGGAGAGGAAGGUAGAAUUCCCGGUGGAGCGGUGAAAUGCGUAGAGAUCGGGAGGAAUACCAGUGGCGAAGGCGGCCUUCUGGACUGACACUGACACUGAGGUGCGAAAGCGUGGGUAGCAAACAGGAUUAGAUACCCGGGUAGUC